rnacentral:tRNA from 1 species
GGCUCAGUAGCUUAGUUGGUAAAGAGCUCGUAGCAUACAAGAGUCCUGGGUUCGAAAUGAGCGGUAGGAU